GCAGAUGUUGUUAGCUGCCUACUCAACAGCCAUCCCCUUCCCCAGUCCAUGCCUCUACACUCUUUCCUGCUGAACAGAACUCCCAUUCUGUUCAGGAAACAAGGACUGUGUGUUCCACAGCAGCCUGAGCCCCAGUCCUAGCCCCGGCCCCAGGACGGAAUCUUGAUUGGCAAGGCAAGAGCCAAAACAAGUCAUGUGACACAGCUCUCGCCAGGGAGAUGACAGCUGGAAUCAAUGUGAAUGUGAUGUCUGGAGCCUCAGCAGCCACAUUUGGACCAUGAGCCCAAUUUGAAAAUGACAGUCAUGUGCCCAGGAUGAUGAGAGAGAAAGAGAAAAGGAACCUGAGUCUUUCCUCCCAGAUGGCGCUGUGCAGCUGCCGUACCAGCCCUGGGCCGCCUGCCUUUGGACUUCUUGUAACCAAACAAAUGAAUAAAUAACCACGUAA